rnacentral:lncRNA from 1 species
AACUCAAUGAAAUCUUAAAAAAAUACAGAUCGCAAUGGAAAAUAUAUUUAUUAGACAUUGGAAAUCUCAAAAAAGAACAUGCUGGUAAUACACAUAUAUGCCCCAUUUCUUCUAUUCUACAUAGAUUACCAAAUAAAUUAUUCCACAACAUAAUAAAAUAAGGUAAAUUCUACCUACUACAGCAGCUUAUGAACAAUCAUAAAGUACUAAAAUUGAACUUUCGAAAGCACAUACAAAUGAAACGAUCAACAGAACUAAAAAGGAAUUCUCUAUUAAAAUAAUAAUCUUCUUACGAAUGCAUCUAUUUGAAAAAUUGUCUUUCUCUGUGUUUGUGUUUGCUUUUUUUUUUUUUUAUUACCUUCAUCAGCAGAAACAGCUGACACAGUCAAAACCAAUAGCAGCAAGAGCAAUGCCAUGUGAGUUCUUGAAUAACCACUCCAGAAAAUGCAAAAAGCAAGAAACUUGAGAGGAACAAAAGUGAAUACGAAGAAAAAUGGGUCGAACCUCAAUAAAUCAUUGUGGGGUAAAGGUGAGUGAAAGGAUAUAUAAGACAAGAGACAGAUAGAAAAUGUUUAGCAUCAAUCAGUAAAGGUUCUUGUUCAGAUAAUCCAACGGCUAAGAAAUCAUCUUAAUCUUGUUCUUUUCUUUGAGAUUACUUUUUGAUUUUUAAAUAAAUAAUUUGAGAAGCGAACUUUCUACAGUCCCACAGUAGCAGAGUGAGGCAGUGUGUUUUUGGGAGUUCCUCUGUUCCUGUCUUGGACUGAAAAACCCACUUUUAUUGUAGCCGUUACAGGGAAGGUUGUUG